rnacentral:rRNA from 1 species
AACGAACGCUGGCGGCAGGCUUAACACAUGCAAGUCGAACGCAUCCUUCGGGGUGAGUGGCAGACGGGCGAGUAACGCGUGGGAACGUGCCCUUCAGUUCGGGAUAACCCAGGGAAACUUGGGCUAAUACCGGAUACGUGCGAGAGCAGAAAGAUUUAUCGCUGAAGGAUCGGCCCGCGUCUGAUUAGCUAGUUGGUGGGGUAAUGGCCCACCAAGGCGACGAUCAGUAGCUGGUCUGAGAGGAUGAUCAGCCACAUUGGGACUGAGACACGGCCCAAACUCCUACGGGAGGCAGCAGUGGGGAAUAUUGGACAAUGGGCGCAAGCCUGAUCCAGCCAUGCCGCGUGAGUGAUGAAGGCCUUAGGGUUGUAAAGCUCUUUCGUCCGGGACGAUAAUGACGGUACCGGAAGAAGAAGCCCCGGCUAACUUCGUGCCAGCAGCAGCCGCAG